rnacentral:rRNA from 1 species
CCCUUAGAUGUUCUGGGCCGCACGCGCGCUACACUGAUGCAUUCAACGAGUCUAAAACCUGGUCUGAUAGGGCUGGGUAAUCUUUUGAAAGUGCAUCGUGAUUGGGAUAGAUGAUUGCAAUUCUUCAUCUUCAACGAGGAAUGCCUAGUAAACGCAAGUCAUCAGCUUGCAUUGAUUACGUUCCUGCCCUUUGUACACACCGCCCGUCGCUCCUACCGAUUGAAUGAUCCGAUGAAUACCAUGGAUUGAGAGUACGAAUGGGUUCGCUCAUUUCUGCUGCUCGAGAAGUGGAGUAAAUCUUAUCAUUUAGAGGAAGGAGAAGUCGUAACA